AGAAAGGAGGGAUUCGGGCCGCCUCGGGCAGCGCCGACCCUGCCGGGCACUGCCUCCCCCUCCUCCCCAGUUCCCCAGUCGCCCGCCAGGCAGCAUCCCCGCGGCACCCACUUGAGACUGCUCAGCGGCCGGCGCCCAGCUACUAGCCCCGCAACAUUGUCACGGCCGCCGAGCCGCCCUGCGACACGAGAGGAGGCGGCGCUGCAGCCUGAGCCGGGGCCGCGAUCGGCGCCCCGCCAGCCAGCUGAUCCCCCGUGCGCCCGGCGGAGACUGAACCCGCCGCCCCUCCCCGGCGCGCGCUCCCGCCCGGCUCCGUCCACCCAACCAGGAAGUGAACCGCCGCCGGAAGUGCCUCUUGGGGCGGUGCGGCCUGACCCCGAGACCCCCCCCCCCCCCGCUACUGCCACUCUGCAGCAACAAAUGGGAAGGAGGUGGUGGCGAGAAAAGAGUCGGGAAAGGGGGUCUGGGAGAGAAGGGUCUUCACAGAGUCUCGGAAUAGAACGUAGCUAUCCCCCGGACGCAGGGCAUCCUGGGAAAGGUAGUUUAGCGCAGCCCAGUGAAUGGACUACAACUCCCACAGUGCUCCUGGAGGAGCGGGCGCGGCGUGAGCUGUGGCCUCCGAGGCCUGGAAAGUGGUGAUGGAGCCGACGCCGCGGUUGGCUUUGAGCUAGACAAACGCCAGGAGGACAGUGUCUGGUCAGAAAAUCUGCAGGCACGAUGCAGACCGACAGACCAACUGCGGAAGGCUGUGUGCAGGGCAGACCCCCAGGGGACCAGCAGACAGUCCAUUGCCUCGACCCCAAACUUUGGGGCUUAUCACCCUACAGUGACCUUUAAUUCUUCACCUUCGCUGAGCUUGGGGUAGACCUGAGCCCCUCUACUCCCUUCCACUCGCAGCCCUAGCCAGAGUUUCUGUUCGUAUUCACUUGAAGGUUCUUCCCUUGAUGUUUAUCUUACCCUGCUAGCGUCUGAGUGUGGGGUGCGGGGGUGGACGAUGUGAUUUGCAUCUGUCAAAGGUAGAAGACUGGAACGCGGUUGGUACCCAGAGAUCUGAUAGGCGAAUGCUGAAGGUAGUGGUAAAUUCCUGCCCCCUUAUCCAUAAUUUUUCUAAUACCUGCAUCUAAGUUAUUGCUCAUGUACCCCGCCCCUUCCGCUCUCUCCUCUCGCUAAUACCGCAACAGCCCUCUUGCCUUGUAAUUCCUCCCCGAAUUUCUAAAGCAGGCAUUUGAAGCGAUUAGAAAAAGGUGCCCCAGGAAAAAUGGCUCUUGUCUUCUCUAAUCUUAAUAUUCAGCAGAGGUGGGCUGGGCUGGUGGUGGCGGUGUAGCUGCUGUUGCGGCUUCUUGUUUCAAGUAGUGCCAUUGUAAUUAAACUCCCUGUGUAGAGAUAGCAUCUUUUCUUCCGGAGCGAGUCAGUGUUGACACCUCAGUUCACAAAUUCAUGCAGCCACCUCCAGGGUGAAAUGCAGCACCUACUAAAACCUUCUUGCCUCAAAGGAAGCCCACGGAGGCAUGUUCUCUGCACCUUCCUUAAAAGGCUAAAUUUUUGUCUAAGGAAGUUUAGAAUAGCUCUUAAAAUAGAUGAAAAACUUCAUUUGGGAUUGAACUCAUUGACCCCCAUCUUUCUCAGCUCCUG
rnacentral:lncRNA from 1 species